CUGAGGGUGAUGUGAGCAACAUAUCCAAAUUUCGUGAGCAUCCGUUCAGUAGUUUUGGAGUUAUACCGUGUGGAAGUUUGACCGGCUCGCCACGAGGUUGUAGCCAACUCAGAGUUCCAUGAAAUCAGUGUUGCGAGCCAGUCUUUGUUCGGAUGAAAAUUACACAAAAAACCCCACAGAUGUAAUGUAGCUGGUUACAUGAGAGUGCUCCCCUCGUUCGGUAGAUUGAAACUCCCGAACGCCAUUGGUGUACAAUUCGUGGAAAUGGGUCAGACGGGACUUCCAUGGGGACCGGGGAUUGCUGGUGAGCCAUGCCAAAAAUAGUUCCAGGUGCUCAACGCCUAAGUCCUGCUGGCCGGCCGUU